rnacentral:misc_RNA from 1 species
UGUGGAGCUGCCGCAGGCUGCGAUCUUUUGAAUUUGUUUUUUUGCAAGCAAGAUCAAAAGAUCGCAGCCUGCGGCAGCUCCUAC